UUUAGCCAGCCACCAAAAAUAUACAUAGAGUGAGUGAUCGAUCUUGAGAAGAUCGCAAUAGAUUAGAAAACUGAUAUUUUUACCCAGCCCUGAUUGUGAUUGUCUCACUUUGUCUUCCAGAUCUGCACCUUGUUCGUGGAGAGACAGGUUGGCAUAGGCGGUGCUGCCUGCCGUCCUCUGCCUGGCACAUGUUCCUGGCACUGGGAUGUGCAGUGAAAACCCCCUCCUGUCCGUCACAUGUCACUAGCAUGUUGCCAGUGCCGGACUUCCGCACCCCUGCUGGGCACAGAAUGACAUCUGGAUGAAGCUAAGAAAAGACACUCACAUGGAAUUGAGAGGAAGGAGAGGUCAAAAAGGGUAUCCCCAUAGACCAAACAAUAGGGGUCAUUACACAGAAGACAGGAAGAAGAUAAGAGGAUCGUAUGGCUGUUUCACACUGCACUCAUAAGCAGCACGCAACAAGGUUCUAUCCAUAAAAUAAAGUGAUUUCUGGGUCUCU